UACGAAGGGGGCUAGCGUUGCUCGGAAUCACUGGGCGUAAAGGGUGCGUAGGCGGGUCUUUAAGUCAGGGGUGAAACCCUGGAGCUCAACUCCAGAACUGCCUUUGAUACUGGCGAUCUUGAGUCCGGGAGAGGUGAGUGGAACUGCGAGUGUAGAGGUGAAAUUCGUAGAUAUUCGCAAGAACACCAGUGGCGAAGGCGGCUCACUGGCCCGGUACUGACGCUGAGGUGCGAAAGCGUGGGGAGCAAACAGG
rnacentral:rRNA from 1 species